AGGGGCGAAGGAAUCCUCUAGGAAAGCAUGGAAAGUCUAAAAAAAAAAGGUAUCUGCUAAAAUCCGAUUCGACGGAUGAUCCUCGCCGAUGACUGCCAAGGCACAAUGGAAGAAAUCGAAUAAGAAAGACAGAGAGGAGAUCGAGGCACGGUAAAAGAGUAGUAGAGGUAGUUUCAUUCUUUCUUCGGGGGGAGUUUAGAAUCGGGGGUUUUCACCGUGCUCGCGUGGAAAUGAGGUGGAAAACCGCACCCUCGAGACUCGACUCACCUUUUCUUUACGUUUUCGAGAAUACUAACCGAAGAUUUCACCAACACCCCGCGGUUUCCUGAUAUUACAAAUGCGUGCGUAGAAUGGCGCGGAGAGCGAGUUCUCGAGGCAGUGGAGCGCGAAGAAAAUCGUGCCAAGGGAGGCAACAAGAACUCGUCGUCAUUUCUGAAUUAAUCUCAUUCGACUGCCCCCUUUAUACUCUCCCUCGCAUCCUGCGGGGCAAGAGGCUCGUAGCCGCUUCGUGGCCUCAAGGUUAAUUGGAACGAGAGUUAGAAAAGUAAAAGGAUCGGAUAGAAAUCCCACGUGAUGAAGGUCACGUAAGUUUUCUUACCGGCCCCCU